rnacentral:lncRNA from 1 species
UUAUUGUUGCUCGAUGACUCCCUUCUAUUUAUGUAUUGCCUUCUCUUUACAAAAUUUGCUUUUUCUCCCUUUCACGUCUCAAAAUAUGAGCCUCUAACACGUAGUCUAAAACAAUUAUUUAGAACCUGAAUGUACUUAUUGAAAAUCAAUGAUCUUUCAUCUAAGAAUUUCAAUUUGCACCCAUGCGAAUGUCAUUUUCACUACAAAUUGCAGCUACAACUGUAACAAUUAUGCUUUAUUGAUGCCCCAUAUACAACACAUAAACACACAAGAGACACUAGUCCUUUUCUUCUUCAUCAAGUUGAAAAUCACAGAUAAGAGGCUCUUCUUAUAUAUAACUACAACAACUACUACAUAAACUUUUAUUGACUUUGGAAUUUGAUGAUUUUGUUCUAAUUGUAACCUUUCUUGCACUUGAGGGACAUUUUCAAAAUCAAUCUGUUGCCAAUCAUGGGUUGUCUGUUAGUUGACAAUUCAAUGAAUCUAUAAUUUGGUGGGGCAACAGACAAACAGAAGCUCAAAGCCAACUGUAAUUGACAGAACAAAUUUAUUAAAUUGAUGCAAUCUCUAUAUAGUCUCUUUUAAGUCAUUUAUCUUUCCUGAACGAGUCAAAAUAUAUCGUGGGUGUUUGGAUUGGCUUAUUUUUAGAUGCUUUUAAGUAUUUUUUCAAUUUUAAUAGUGUUUGACAAAGUUAAAAAGUGCUUUUAAGCACUUAUUUUUAAGUCAAAAUAAGUGCUUAUAAGCCAAAAGUAGGGUAACACCAACUUAUGGCUUUUGGCUUAUAAGCUACUAAUUAAAAGUCAAUCCAAACAGGCCCGAUCAUCAAGGAUUAUAGUGGGCAAAUAAGAUUUACGCGUAAAGUCAUGAUUUGAUGUUUAUGAAUUCGGAGUUCUAGCCCUUUUAAAUUAUGGGGUUCUAAAUUAGUGAUUGUUACAUAUUAAACAAGUUUUUAAAGACAAAUACAAUGUUUGGACCAAGAUUACUGGAUUCAGCAAACCCGUACUUCGAUCUUUGCUCCUUGGCCUGAUAGGAUCCCUCCACAUUUAAUAGGAUCUCUAAUUCGAAUAUUGAGUAAGUAAACCUUAUACGUUGCGAAUCUAAGACCUUAAUAUGAAUAUCGAGUAGCAGGUAAAACAACAAAAAAGGAGUCUAAAAUAAGGGCAUCUUUUGUAGUUGUGGUUGUUAUUAAGGUCGUUGGUUCUAUGCAUUCUCCCUUUAUCCUUCUACUCAUUGUCUGCGCAAUAAUAAUAUGAUUAUAUUAAUGUGGGAACUAACCAAUCAUUAGGACUUAGGAGAUUGUAAGG